rnacentral:rRNA from 1 species
UGCAGUCGAGCGGUGAAGGGAGCUUGCUUCCUGAUUCAGCGGCGGACGGGUGAGUAAUGCCUAGGAAUCUGCCUGGUAGUGGGGGACAACGUUUCGAAAGGAACGCUAAUACCGCAUACGUCCUACGGGAGAAAGUGGGGGAUCUUCGGACCUCACGCUAUCAGAUGAGCCUAGGUCGGAUUAGCUAGUUGGUGGGGUAAAGGCCUACCAAGGCGACGAUCCGUAACUGGUCUGAGAGGAUGAUCAGUCACACUGGAACUGAGACACGGUCCAGACUCCUACGGGAGGCAGCAGUGGGGAAUAUUGGACAAUGGGCGAAAGCCUGAUCCAGCCAUGCCGCGUGUGUGAAGAAGGUCUUCGGAUUGUAAAGCACUUUAAGUUGGGAGGAAGGGCAGUAAGUUAAUACCUUGCUGUUUUGACGUUACCAACAGAAUAAGCACCGGCUAACUUCGUGCCAGCAGCCGCGGUAAUACGAAGGGUGCAAGCGUUAAUCGGAAUUACUGGGCGUAAAGCGCGCGUAGGUGGUUUGUUAAGUUGGAGGUGAAAUCCCCGGGCUCAACCUGGGAACUGCCUCCAAAACUGGCUGACUAGAGUACGGUAGAGGGUGGUGGAAUUUCCUGUGUAGCGGUGAAAUGCGUAGAUAUAGGAAGG